AAGUCGUAACAAGGUUUCCGUAGGUGAACCUGCGGAAGGAUCAUUAUGAAUUUGGAACUUGCGCGUGUGGCUAGUUUCAUUUAUUUGAACGCCCUCGCGCAAUUCUUUUUCUGUGAACUGGCGCAGUUUUCAGUUGUUUUCGCAAGAUUUUAUGUCUUGUGAAGACAAUUGAGCUCGCUCUUUUUUGUUUUCUUGUAUUAUUCCACUUGUUUUGAGUAAUUCUUGCAAAAGAAUGAAAAAAAUAAAAAACCAAGACAACUUUCAGCAAUGGAUCUCUUGGCUCUU
rnacentral:misc_RNA from 1 species